GGCACGGGAAAAAUAGAGAAAGAAAAAAUGGUAGCAUCAUUCAAAUUACCAAAAAUUGUCAUAUUCUCUUUGUUUUGUUACAAAUUAGAGUUGAGUUCUUGCUGUUGAAGCUGUUACUUUAAUUUGGGUGUUGUUUUUGGUUCAACAUCAGACACAUAAAACCCAUUGCUAUUUUAAUUAGGUAAAGCUCUCAACUUACUGUCUAUGUGUAUUUUUUUCUUUAAUUAGCUUGUAUAUACAAGUAAUUGGUUGUGUGCGUUCUUCAGUAACAUUAACUGAUUCUCUUGUUAGAUUUUUGGGCAGGAAAUCCAUAAUUAUUUAUAAUAAUUUAAAGGCUCGAAUAACUAAUCAAUUUUUUCAUUUGCAAUUUAAAUUUUAUUUUCCAAUUAAUUUAUGCAAAUUUGCUCAUGAUCUGAUGCCUUUCGAUGAAAAUCUAUAAAAGUCUUAAGUAAAUAUGUUUUGAGGUUAAGAUUUGAUGUAUUGCUGUAGUUCUAAUGGUGAUUGGUGUACUCUAUGCUGUUUCGCGAGAUCAAAGAAAAUAAGAAAAGAGCAACUACAAAGCGUUUUACUAUAUAAAUACUAAUUCAAUUAUAAAGACAAUAAUUUCAGUAUACAGAAAGAGCUUCUUAGAUAAAACCAAUAUGACAAGAAUUAUUUAGCGACAGUGUCUUUAUUGGUGCAGAUUUAAAUAAAUUGGAAGAGAAAUAGCAACAUAUGCCACAUUAACUGAAAUAUACAAUUCCCAUAAUAUCAAUUUUUUAGUUUUCAAAAGUCUACUUUUUGUAACAAAUUAUCAUCACUUAGCAAAAGAAUUGGUUAAUACUUCUUUCAUUUGAUUUCAAAAUGGUGCUGUGAAUAAUAUAUAUAUAAUAUUUAUAUAUCUUACAUUGCUUUUGACACUAUAGAAUUUGAGACCUUAAUUUAUUUGAAGUGUAAUCUACGACUGAUAACAUGUUCAAACUUGAAAAUUCUAUCUUUAUUUACAACCAAAUAGUGACAUCACAAGUUAACUCAUGCAGAUGAAGGUUUUCUUUUCUGUAACAUCAUGUAUUUUAACUGUAGAAAUAUACUAACGGGCUAAAACUAAUUUAUGAUCCUUGUUUUCGUUGCAACUAACAAAUGCUUUCUUUUUUGUUGACACCAAGAAUAUUUCUCAUCUCAAUCCAUGAAUCGAACGGUUCAAUUUGCUAAGGAGAAGUUGAAUAAGGUAAUAAUCAAUUGUGUGAUAAUUUCUAAGUAUCUUAAAUUUAUAUCAAUUUCAGACUUUCUCCACCGUUGUAGAACAAUGUGAAGCUGCUUGCUCACAUUUUUAUUUUGACACUGGCAUUGAGUAUAGUAUGAAUUUAUUAAAUGUUUCGAAUAAAGAAACUUUGGUUCUUGAGAGGGUAAAAGCAAGAGAAUGUUUUCAUUGUCGAUCAAUUAAAAUUUUAAACGUUGACAGUUUGGUUUCAAAGUUUUUAACGUUAACUAUUCUAUACCUCAUUUUCUUAAGGAGUAGAUAGAUGCUAUAAGAUUUAGAUAUUUACAUGAGAAUUGCACUAAUAGAAGGUUAAGCUAACAAAAAAUUUGAAACAAGAACCUGAAGAGUGAUCUUGUUGUUCAUUGAGUAUCAUUGAUGCUUUCUUCACUUUGAACCCGGUAUAGUGUGUUUGUUUUUGUUGGUCAUGCAGCAACGGUUCUACUAUAGGCGAAUUGAAGAAGGAAAACAAUAUUCGUUAUUAUUUGAAGAUUAUCAAGCUUAAAUGAAGAGUUUAUAUCUCAUAAAUCUCCAUCAUCUGGGUUUGAUUUCACUUCCAGUAAGAAAAUAGAGCAGAAGCUGCUUGAUUACAAUCAAGAAGCAGAAAGAUUUUGGAGAUAUUAAAUUCUUUCUUUAGUUCUGUUUACACCUUAUGUUUGCAUUAUUUUCUUUGCAUUAGGUGGUAUGUCACUUUUAUUGAGUUCAUUCAAGGUUAUGCUUAUGAGGAAUUAUCAAAACUGUCACUUAAUCACCAGCAUGUUGUGUACACUAUGUAUGAUAAGGACAACGAUUGCUUUAAAUUGUUCAAAAG
rnacentral:lncRNA from 1 species